rnacentral:rRNA from 1 species
GAUCCUGGCUCAGGAUGAACGCUAGCUACAGGCUUAACACAUGCAAGUCGAGGGCAGCACAGUGUAGCAAUACGACGGGUGGCGACCGGCGCACGGGUGCGUAACGCGUAUCCAACCUUCCCGUUACUCUUGGAUAGCCUUCCGAAAGGGAGAUUAAUACAAGAUGGUAUUCAAAUUCCGCAUGUUAUUUGAAUUAAAGAUUUUAUCGGUAACGGAUGGGGAUGCGUGACAUUAGAUAGUAGGCGGGGUAACGGCCCACCUAGUCUACGAUGUCUAGGGGUUCUGAGAGGAAGGUCCCCCACACUGGAACUGAGACACGGUCCAGACUCCUACGGGAGGCAGCAGUGAGGAGUAUUGGUCAAUGGUCGGAAGACUGAACCAGCCAAGUAGCGUGAAGGAUGAAGGUUCUAUGGAUUGUAAACUUCUUUUAUACGGGAAUAAAACCUCCCACGUGUGGGAGCUUGUAUGUACCGUAUGAAUAAGCAUCGGCUAACUCCGUG